rnacentral:rRNA from 1 species
AUUGAACGCUGGCGGCAGGCUUAACACAUGCAAGUCGAGCGGGGGAAGGUAGCUUGCUACCGGACCUAGCGGCGGACGGGUGAGUAAUGCUUAGGAAUCUGCCUAUUAGUGGGGGACAACAUCUCGAAAGGGAUGCUAAUACCGCAUACGUCCUACGGGAGAAAGCAGGGGAUCUUCGGACCUUGCGCUAAUAGAUGAGCCUAGGUCGGAUUAGCUAGUUGGUGGGGUAAAGGCCUACCAAGGCGACGAUCUGUAGCGGGUCUGAGAGGAUGAUCCGCCACACUGGGACUGAGACACGGCCCAGACUCCUACGGGAGGCAGCAGUGGGGAAUAUUGGACAAUGGGGGGAACCCUGAUCCAGCCAUGCCGCGUGUGUGAAGAAGGCCUUAUGGUUGUAAGGCACUUUAAGCGAGGAGGAGGCUACUCUAGUUAAUACCUAGGGAUAGUGGACGUUACUCGCAGAAUAAGCACCGGCUAACUCUGUGCCAGCCGCCGCGGUAA